CACCCACCCCCCGCCUCCAUUCUUUCUCUCCCUCCCUCCUGCGCCUCCACCAGUGAGCCCCUCUGCUCUCCCUCGCUCCGAUCUGGUGGAGCCGCCGCCCCCAACCUCUCUCUCCGACUUCGAUCCGUCGCCGCCUCCAACCGCUCACACCCCACUCCUCUUCCCCUCCUCCUCUGGCAGCCCAGUCGUCAUCACGACCGAGGACCAGAGACGCGGGCAGGGAGCUUGAGGCGGAGGAGCAGCAGUAGCGGCGGCAGUGGCAAGUCAGGGCAAGGCCAGCAGCGAUGGGGUUCAUCUCCUUCGUCAAGAGGGUGCUCUUCGCCUCCGUCUUCCUCCUCUCCGCCUACCAAGAAUCGGGCCGAAAGAGGAGGAGUUCAGCUCGGGUUCUCCACGUACGUACGCCCAUACCGUGUAGCUCAUGAUUCCUGCUGAGCUAGAGCUACUACUGUGUCUGUUGUGUAUGCAUCACCUCAGAUUACAUACCACUUCUUCCACUGGAAGAGGGGAACUCCAUUCGCUGAUGAUCAAGGGAUGUAUAAUAGAUUGACUUGGUGGGAGCAAAUGGACAACAGCAAGCAACUUACUCGCAACAGAAAAUUUCUUGUUGUGGUUCCUGUAGUCCUCUAUGUGUUAUUCUGUUUCAAUUUUAUUAAUACUACUUUUGGGAGCUUACUUGGCAAGGAACAACAUGGCAGGAUGUAUGCACAAAGAUUGAUUCUGGCUAGUCAGGAAUACUACACUUAUUCAUUAAUUAUGCAAAGAACACUUGUUAGUAACAUCUAGGUCUAACUUGUAUAUUCACGUCAUUAUAUAUGUGUAAGGAUUGGGCAUUACUCUAAUGCUCUAUUCACGCCAUUAUACAUGUGUAAAAAAAUUUCAA